CAGAACUCACAACUGGAGUUCUAUAUGUUCUACUCCGGUCUGACCAAGUCGCGAUAGUGCACGGACGCGUUUUUUUUGCAGCUAGUUUCUUGAUACUUAUAAAUAACGGAAUUCAGGCAAAUACUUGACUGGCGAGGAUAUUGGUUAAGACGAAACGGUGUUUAUACGUCCAAAGGGAUUAGAUAUAGAAACUUCUGAUUGCUGAAACCAAAAAGGCCCGCUAAAGCGGGCGCAACCCCCAACAUAACCUGCACCUGCGUGUGCGGUUAAUCGAAAAAAUGGGAGAUCACCCACAACAUCUUCCGAGAGUGCUAAGACCACCUCGGACGUAUGCUACUUCUGGCCUUAAGCUUAAUAAUAGGCAUAACACCCGCGUUACUACGAAAGAGUCUAUAGGCGAAAACAAAAAUGGUCUGAAUCCAAAGAGGAACUCACUGAUACAAGCAAGACUUAACCACACUAAAAGUUCGAACAACUUAGAUCAAAUUAACACAACAGCCAAAGGUGAUGACCUAAAGGAUACAAAAAUGGAAACUGAAGACAUAUCGCUCGAAGAAAUCGAAAAGAUUAUCCAUACACCAAAUGACAAUAAAACCCUAACACAGAGUCAACCGAUAACAGAGACAAACACGAGCAGCUUAGACCAGCGCAAUCACGAAUCCCAGAACACGUCGCACGAAAACUCAAAAGCUGACAGUGAAAGGAAGAGACCUGCCGAAUUUAGAUCGCCAGAGUCAUCAUCCCCCAACAAUCAAAGAUUCAAGAAAAAACCUUACAACGACAAUGCUAGAAAAAAUCUAUUCAAUGACCACUCUUUACCGACCGAUCCCAAUGAUAACAGAAAUGAUAAAGAUUUACCAUCAGAGUACGACAUUACCAUACAAGGACCAUACAAAAUCUACCUACAAUCAAUUGACAAUGAUAGACUAGAUGCUAUAAAGAUUGCUAAAUCCCUAAUUCCAAAAAUUGAAAUCAAAGACUCCUUACAUGAAAUAAAACAAUUAAGCUAUAAUAAAGUUUGUGUUAUAGCCAAAUAUAGAAAUAUAGCCAACCUUAUCUUAAACUUGACAGAUUGGAAGGAUCUAAAAAUCCGUGCGUUCAUCCCAAACCAUCUGCUUUCAAAGCAAGGAAUCAUUAAGGGUAUUCCAGUAGAAAUAACUGAUGAUGAAUUAAAACAGUUCAUCGAAUUAGACUCUCCUUUUGGUCCACUCCAGAUCACACACACACGAAGAUUCACGAAAAAGAUAUACAACAAAUCAACCGAUAAAGUAGAUAUCCUCCCAACAAAAACAGUUCAAAUAACAGUGAAAGGACAAUUUCUACCGGCAGAGGCUAAGGUCUUAAAAGUAAUUUACCCAAUUGAAACAUACUACCCGCAAGUAAGACAAUGCUACAGAUGCUUUAGAUUUGGUCAUAUCAAAAACAAUUGCAAAGCCCCAAAUGAAAGAUGCAUCAGAUGCGGUGAACCAAAACAUACAGAUGGAAAUGAAUGUCCAUACAUUAACACACAACCUACAUGUUUACACUGUAAACAAAACCACCUCCCAAUUGACAAAAGUUGUCCUGCAAAAAUUGAAGAGCAAAACCUAAAAAACAUGGCAACAGAUCAAAACAUUACAAUAGCCGAAUUAAAAAACCAAUUAAGAAAAAUGCCUGCGUAUAACAAAUCACAUUUUCCAACCAUUGGUAACUCCUCACAACCAACGCAAGCUCAGACAGACACACUAAAAAAUACCAUGUAUGCGGAUAAAGUAAAAUCCUACUCCAAACAGCCAAGGAACCAUCCUACUCAACCUUCAGUGGAACCAACAGAUAUAUAGGGGGUCUACCCAAUCAGUAGGUCAUAACCAUCAACUCACCCAAUCCCCCUCUCAAAAAUCAAAAAACAACAACUUUACUCCCAACUUUAGAUUGGCAAAACAGCACACGGAUUGUUUGUCAUAUGUAAAUGGCAACACCAAUCUAAAAAUCAAACCAAUCAAUCAUAGAAUGACAGCGAAAGACUUUUUUGAUCACAGUUAUCUUCAAGACACUCAUGAUAAUUUAAAUUUCACACCAAUAGAGGAAAAAAUUAAUUAUAUUACUGAAAUUAUUAACGACUUACCAAUAACUGAAAUCCGAAAAAUCUUAAGACUAACUGAAAAUAGAAUCAAUCACAGGGAACAACAAUUAAAACAGUCAAAUGUACUGUUGACACAAGUCCAAAAUACCUAUAAUGACGCAGUUAAUGAAACAGAUAAUUUAAGCAAAAAAAAUGAUAACACUAAUGAAGAAUCAAGCUCCACAGAGCUUUAAACAAACACGUAAAUCGAACUAAUAGCAAUUCCAUGCUUAUAAAUGUUUUUCGACAUCUAAUUUUCAAUCUUAAAUUAUAUUUAAAAAAUGGAAGAUACAAUUCAAGGUAAUCCAAACAAAUGUAAAAUCAAAAACAAUCUUAAAAUCCUUCAAUGGAAUUGCCGCUCAAUUUCAAAUAAAACUGAUUUCAUCAAAAAUAUAGCCGACAACUACGACAUAAUUCUUCUCUCAGAGACAUGGCUCUCAGACCAAAAAAAAUUUACAAUAAAAAACUUCAAUAUGGUAAGAAGAGAUAGAGCAGAAAACAACAACAAUUUAAAUAAAGAGCAUAAUGGAGAAGUCUGUAUUCUCGUCAAAUCAAUCCUGAUAUUUGAAGAGUAUAAACCAUUAUAUAACAGCCCGGAAAGUUUAGAAACAGUUGCUGUCACAGUACAUCUCAACAACGAAGAAGAAAUAUUAAUCAGUUCAAUAUACAGAGUUCCUGGAAAAGUUACCACAGCGGAAGAAUGGUACAAAUUCUUUCAAUCAAUUGAUAAAAUCAAAUAUAAAAUAAUUGGUGGAGAUUUUAAUGCACACAAUUUACUAUGGGGAUCAACAAACAACUGUAAAACUGGAGAGAAUCUUUUAGAAAUUAUCGACGAUAAAGACCUUAUAAUUCUUAAUGACGGUUCAAUGACCUACUCCAAAGUAGUUAACAAUAACAUAACUUUUUCUGCUAUAGACUUAACAAUAGUAUCAUCAGACUUAUUUCUCCAAAGUCACUGGAAAAUCCUAGACGAUAAAAUGUACAGUGAUCAUUACCUAAUUGAAAUCGAGAUUAACAAAGACAUAAAAAUAUGCCCUACAGCAUCAAGCCAUAAAAUAAAAACAAAGUCUAUUAACUGGACAAACUUCAACCUACUAGUAGAAGCUAUAGUUGACACUCAAUACCCUAUAGACCAAUUUCAUGAAUUUUCGAAUAAACCGAUAGAUGAAAAAUAUAACAUACUAAUGAAUAUUCUAAUAAGUGCCAUAAACGAACUAAAACCUAAACCAAAAAAGUCACACAACAAAGAAAAAAUAAAUGAAAUAAACAACCCCAGUGAUGACAAUUCUACAAUGAAUAACCAUCCAUGUUAUAAAGUAUACUCCCCUUUAAUAACCGAUAACAGAACCCAAUUUAUUAAGAAUAAACUAAAAGCAUCACAUAUACCUCAAUCAAUAAAACCACCUUGGUGGAAUGAGGAAGCCGAAGAGAUUAAUAACACCAGGAAAAAUCUAGAAAAAAGCCUGAAACAAAAUCCAUCGUUGGAACAACUCAAAGAACUAAAGGACUAUGAAAUAGAAUCAAAAUUCAAACUAAAAGAAAUUAAAUUAAACAGUUUUAAGAAAUAUACAGAAACUAAACUGUCUAGAGAAGCCAACAUAAAUGAAGUCUGGGAAACCAUCCAUAAAUUUAACGAAAAAAAAAAGAAAUAACCCAAUAUACUUAGACUCAGAGACAAUAAAUAACAUGCACCAAUUCAUCUCAGACUUUUGCCCGCAAACAGCUUCUUAUAAUCAACCCCCAGGAUCUAUCGAAAACAUAGAGGCCGAAAUAAAUAGUGACAUCGACAGUCCAUUUAAUUUAAAAGAACUGACAAUAGCGAUUGAGUCAUGCAACAAAAAAUCUAGCCCUGGGUUAGACCAAAUAGACAACAUUAUGCUCAACAACACUCCAAACAACUAUAGAGCGCUGCUUUUACACACCAUAAAUGAUAUAAUUGCCAGCGGAAGGUUUCCACGAGAGUGGAAAGAAUUCCUGGUAAUGCUACUACCCAAAAAAGAAAAAAAUAAAUUCAGACCUAUCACAUUAGCUUCAUGUAUGCUAAAACUAGCCGAAAAACUCAUACAAACACGAUUAAUCUACUACCUAGAGAGCAAUGCACUCUUACCCGAUUCUCAAAAUGGCUUCAGAAAAGCUAAGUCAUGCGCCACUAGUAUUGCUUAUCUAAUCGCUCAAAUACAUAAAGCUUUUAUAGAAAAUUCGCAUAUUAUUACAUUGCUGAUAGACAUUAAGUCUGCUUUCGACAUGGUCAAUCCGAAUAUGUUACAAAAUAUACUGGAAGAUCUUAAAAUACCAAUUAAAACAAGAACAUUCAUAUUCAACCUAAUGACAAACAGAAAUCUCUAUUUUUAAAUUAAUCACAAACUAGUGGGACCCUUCUACAGACACAUUGGAGUCCCCCAAGGCUGCGUUCUAAGCCCGACCCUCUACCUCAUUUAUGUUAUCUAUCUCAACCGACACAUUAAUCCUAAAAACAAUAUCAUACAAUUCGCAGACGACACAAUAAUAUUUACAAACAAUAAAUCUGUAGAAGAAGGCCUAGCUACAUUACAAAACAACACAAGUGAGAUUAUCAACUUUUUCCAAUCCAUAGGACUAGAUAUAGCUCCGAAUAAAACACAAUUGAUCAUCUUCUCCAACAAAAAUAUAGAUCCCAACAUAUCUAUCACCAUAAAUGGACAUAAAAUUAAAAAUGAACAAGCUGUUAAAUACCUUGGAGUAUGGCUCGACUCCAAACUAAACUGGAAUACACACGCACAAAAUCUUAUUGAAAAAAUACAAAAAACUAUAAAUAUUAUAAAAGUCUUGAGAACGACUUGGUGGGGAGGACAUCCUCAAGUACUCCUCAAUGUCUAUAAAGGUUUGAUUAGAAGCAUCACCGAUUAUAACUGUUUCUGUAUAAAUAUCAAGAAUCCAAAACUAAGAGAAAAAAUCAACAAGCUACAAUACAAAGCAAUCAGAUUGGCACUAGGAUAUAGAAACUCUACACCUAUCAAUGUCAUGCUGGCAGAAUCCAAAGAAGUCCCCAUAACAACCAGAACGGAGUACUUAGCAGACAAACUAGCGGUCAAGAUCAUAUCAAUAGAAUCAGAUAGACUUUCUAACAUGCUCUGCGAAUUAUUUGUCCUAGCAAGAAAUAAAAACAAAAUUUUCACCGUAAGCUCUUUCCCUUUAUUCAAAUCAUUUAUACACUACUUUUAUCACAGAGGUCACUUUAUCAAAAAAUUUAACUUACCACUUCCUUACCCAUACAAGCUUGAAACAAUGCUAAAUGACAAAGAGGACGAGAUCAUCUCAAUAAAAGAAGGUUCUAUCAUACAAAAAUCAGAAAACCCCAAUACUGCAUUUGAGGAGAUGUUUUAUAAUAACCCAUCCGAAGAAACGGUUGACUUUUUUACUGACGGUUCUAAAACAGAAGACAAAAAUCACACAGGAGCAGCAAUUUAUUCACCAUACAAUAAUCUCGAAAAAAAAUUCAAAUUCAACAAAAUUGCAUCCAUAUUUACAGCUGAAGCAUUUGCUAUUUUACAAACACUGAAAAUAGUACUAAACAAAAAUAUAAAAACUUCCAGAAUUUUUACUGAUUCCCAGUCAGUCCUACAAGCGAUUAAAUAUUUCUCCCCACUAAAAACAAAAAAUAUGUCUUAUCUUAUUCUAGACAUAAAAAACCUAUUAUACGAGAUUAUAAACAAAAAACUAAAACUGAAAAUUUACUGGAUACCCGCUCAUAAAAACAUUACAAAUAACGAAAUAGUAGACAAAUUAGCUAAAGAUGCCAUUACAACAGGUGAUCAAGUUGACCUAAAACUUCCAUACACUGAUAUGUUUGAAGAAAUCAAAAAAAAGGAACACAAAAGCUUCAGAAAAAAACUAGACCACGAAAAAACAUACAAGGGUAAACUAUACUUCGAAAAUUAUUAUGAAGAUACUCCAAAACCCUGGUUUUAUAAAACCAUUGCUAACAGAUAUCAUAUAACAACAAUUAACAGAAUUCGUUCAAACCACUACUCUCUAGCAGAGAGUCUAUUCAGGAAAAACCUAACCGACUCAGAAGAAUGCAAAUGCGGAUUCCUCACAGAAGAUUUAGAUCACGUUAUAAAUGAAUGCCCGCUCUAUAUUAAAGAGAGAGCAUCCCUACUUAAAAAAUUAAAAAAAACAAAUCAACAAUUCCUUUAGACUUGAAAAAAACAUUUAAAAUGCCUAACAGCAUAGAAGCAAAAUUUCUAACAGAAUUUUUCAAAGCCUGUAAUUUAGCUUUAUAAUCAAAAAUUUACACAUUAUGUAGAUGAUUUCACCUGACUUAUUCUAUAAGAUGUAACAGAAAAACCACGGUGCUGAUCAAUAAUCGGCCUCGAGAUACCUUACUGCCAAACCAAAAACAAAAUCGCCGCCAACUACAAUAACAGACCUUAAUUCAAAUUAUUACCGGGUGAUGGCAGCACGAGUCUAACUCAUUGCCAAGAAAAAAAAAGAAGAAGAAGAACUCACAACUCGUGAACUUACGUCCCGAUGCGACAGAAAUUUUUCUGUUGACCAAAAAAUUAGGUAAAAUAAAGUAUCGAUAUUUACGUAUAACAUAUCGAUAUUUCCAAUAAUCGGUUAGUAAAAUAUCGAUAAAAAAUUCCGAUAUAUUGAAACAAAAAUAUCGAUAUUUGCACUUAUCGAUAAUUAUUGAACAUCACUAAUUUGACAAUGGCAUAGAUGCAUCAGAGAAGAAAUCGCGGCGGAGGCGAUGCGUACAAAUUUAAAUCGCUCGUGCUUUAGGUAGAAUUGAGCUUCCAGGAUGGCCGGAAACUUUUGGCACAGCUCGCAUCAUCAACAAUGGCUAUUGGAUAAGCAAGAUUUGGUCAGAGAGAGGCAGUACGAUCUCUCAAUUUUGACCGAGGAAGAGUAUCAAAAGUUGUUUAUUUUUUUUGCUAAUCUAAUUCAGGUGUUUGGUGAACAGCUCAAGCUGAGACAGCAGGUCAUUGCCACAGCUACAGUUUAUUUUAAAAGCUUCCAAAGUUGAGGAAUUUGGCGUAAUUUCAAAUAACAGAUUACUUACAACUUGUCAAACAGUUUUGAAAAGCAAAUUUACAUAUGCCUAUGCACAAGAAUUUCCAUAUAGAACAAACCAUAUUUUGGAAUGUGAAUUUUAUUUAUUAGAGCACCUUGACUGCUGCUUAAUUGUGUACCAACCUUAUCGCCCAUUACUUACUUUAAUUCAAGACGUUGGCCCUGAUGAUCAAUUACUUACACUAGCCUGGAGAAUCAUCAAUGACAGUUUGCGCACUGAUGUUUGCUUACUGUAUCCUCCAUAUCAAAUAGCAAUUGGUUGCCUACAAAUAGCUUGCGUCAUAUUACAAAAAGACCUUAAAUCAUGGUUUGCUGAACUAAACGCAGACAUGGAAAAAAUUCAAGAAAUAGCUAGGUAUAUAAUUAACUUAUAUGAGCUCUGGAAAACUUAUGACGAGAAAAAAGAAAUUCAGGCUUUACUAAACAAAAUGCCAAAACCAAAAGCUGCUCCUCAGCGUUAAGACUCUUUACUACAUCUUUUCAUAAGCACCGCAUUUAUAUGUAAUAAUUUUAUUUUUAUACGUUGAAACAAAAAUUUAUAGGAAAUCAAAUUAAAUAAUAAUUUAUAAAAUAAAAUAAUUAACGGUUACAAUAUAUAAUAAAACGCUGUGUAUUUUCACCGCAAAUUCACGUAGAUCCACGUAAAUACGCGUUUAAAACUUGAUUUCAUCGACGACUUUAAAACGUGUAUUUACGUUGACGAAGUAUAGACACGUAUUUUCCAGAAACGUAAAUUUUCCGCGUUAGCGUACGUAAUUUUUUAGGCACUGUCUACGUACACCCACCCGUGUACAUAUACGGUACACGGGUUUUCCCUGCGGAUAUAAGAAGUUAAGAAAAUAUUCAACCCGUGUACGUUUGCGAAGAGUGUGCCUGGGUGGGUAUGAUUGCUUCAGCACAUCUGAGUGAAAAGAUCAGUAUGCUAAAGCAACAGUACACAGAUUUACUCUUUGCAAAAGAAAAGUAAAUUUCAAGUCACUAAUUAAUCAAUCAUACCCUGGAUCUACGUGGAUUUACGUGAAUUUGUGAUGCGAAUAGACACGGCGAUAAUAAAAGGUCUUUUACAGAGCAUUUUUAUAAAAUUUAUGCUAUUUAUUUUACAAUAAAUCAUCCUGUAUUGCAA